rnacentral:rRNA from 1 species
UACGGAGGGUGCAAGCGUUAUCCGGAUUCACUGGGUUUAAAGGGUGCGUAGGUGGGCAGGUAAGUCAGUGGUGAAAUCUCCGGGCUUAACCCGGAAACUGCCAUUGAUACUAUCUUUCUUGAAUACCGUGGAGGUGAGCGGAAUAUGUCAUGUAGCGGUGAAAUGCUUAGAUAUGACAUAGAACACCAAUUGCGAAGGCAGCUCACUACACGAAUAUUGACACUGAGGCACGAAAGCGUGGGGAUCAAACAGG